rnacentral:rRNA from 1 species
AUUGAACGCUGGCGGCAUGCUUUACACAUGCAAGUCGAACGGUAACAGGCCUUCGGGUGCUGACGAGUGGCGCACGGGUGCGUAAUGCAUCGGAAGUUACCAGAGGGUGGGGAUAACGGAGGGGAAGCUUGGCUAAAUACGCAUGUGAACUGAGGGUGAAAGGGGGGGAACGAGCAGCAAUGUUUGGCCCUGCCGCCUUUGAACGGCCGAUGUCGGAUUAGCUAGUUGGUGGGGUAAAGGCCUACCAAGGCGACGAUCCGUAGCUGGUCUGAGAGGACGACCAGCCACACUGGGACUGAGACACGGCCCAGACUCCUACGGGAGGCAGCAGUGGGGAAUUUUGGACAAUGGGCGCAAGCCUGAUCCAGCAAUGCCGCGUGCGGGAAGAAGGCCUUCGGGUUGUAAACCGCUUUUGGCAGGAACGAAACGGUGUCCGCUAAUACCGGGCGCUAAUGACGGUACCUGCAGAAUAAGCACCGGCUAACUACGUG